AUGCUUACUUUGCAGCACAUAUGCUAAAACUGGAACCAUACAAAGAAGAUUAGCAUGGCCCCUGUGCAAAAAUGACACACUAAUUCAUGAAGUAUUUGAAUAGUUU